GUUAAUAGCUGCAUUUAUUUGACGUUAGCGACAGAAGAAGCACCGGCUAACUCCGUGCCAGCACGCCGCGGUAAUACGGGAGGGUGCGAGCGUUAAUCGGAAUUACUGGGACGUAAAGCGCAUGCAGGUUGGUUUGUUAAGUCAGAUGUAGAAAGGCCCGGGGCUCAACCUCGGAAUAGCUAUUUAGAAACGUGGCAGACUAGAGUACUGUAGAGGGGGGUAGAAUUUCGGGUGUAGCGGUGAAAUGCGUAGAGAUCUGAAGGAAUACCGGUGGCGAAGGCGCCCCCCUGGACAGAUACUGACACUCAGAUGCGAAAGCGUGGGGAGCAAACAGGAUUAGAUACCCUGGUAG
rnacentral:rRNA from 1 species